CCUACGGGCGGCAGCAGUGAGGAAUAUUGGUCAAUGGACGAGAGUCUGAACCAGCCAAGUAGCGUGAAGGAUGACUGCCCUAUGGGUUGUAAACUUCUUUUAUAUGGGAAUAAAAUGUUCCACGUGUGGGAUUUUGUAUGUACCAUAUGAAUAAGGAUCGGCUAACUCCGUGCCAGCAGCCGCGGUAAUACGGAGGAUCCGAGCGUUAUCCGGAUUUAUUGGGUUUAAAGGGAGCGUAGGUGGAUUUUUAAGUCAGUUGUGAAAGUUUGCGGCUCAACCGUAAAAUUGCAGUUGAAACUGGCAGUCUUGAGUACAGUAGAGGUGGGCGGAAUUCGUGGUGUAGCGGUGAAAUGCUUAGAUAUCACGAAGAACUCCGAUUGCGAAGGCAGUUCACUGGACUGCAACUGACACUGAGGCUCGAAAGUGUGGGUAUCAAACAGGAUUAGAUACCCGGGUAGUC
rnacentral:rRNA from 1 species